UAUUCUGCCCCAUGGGGAAGGAUGAGAAGCUUCGACUAAGGUUCGACUCGAGCGAAGCGAGAGAACGUUACCGCAGGCAACGGCCCGAAGGGCGAAGCGCUUUAGCGCCGAGUAAUCCUUCCCCCACCACUG
rnacentral:sRNA from 1 species